AGGGGUGUAGCUCAGUGGUACAGCAUCUGCUUUGCAUACAGAAGGUCUCAGGUUCAAUCCCUAGUGGUGUCUCCA